ACUUUAAGUAGUUUAAUAAAAAAGCUCUAUUUGGGAGUAUAAUAUUAUAUUACGAUAUAAUAUUUAUAAUAACGUAUUAUUAUAAUGUUUAUUUCGAAUAGGCGUGAAAAUGUUAUUAGUUGCAUUCGUGUUACAAUACGUGAGGUAAUUUAAAAUGUAAACCUACACGCGCGAACGCGCCAGUAUCCUUGAGGAGAUUAAUGAAUCUGCAGGAACAGGUGUAAGCAAAUAUUCAUCUAGCGAUGUCAUCUGGAGACUUGACUUUAAUAGACGGAGUAAAUUAUACUAUUUGUAGUUAAUCUGAUGUGCUGUCACUGUUAACGGUGAUUCAUUGGGUCAAACAAGAAUUGCUUCGAUCAGAGAGAAUUUGAAAUAAUGUUCCAUUUGCUCACGAUUUAUUAUUAUUUAUGAGAAUUCUUGUACACGAUACCGAUAGACAUUGGUAUUGGAUAUGUUGAUUGCAAAAAUUAAAAUGUAUAAGAAGCUGCAAAAAUCGAAAGGAGAACGCAGAGAACUUGCAACAAUGACGGCUAUAGUAAUCGCUCGUGCUCUUAGUUGUCGAUAAAAUGCACGAUUUCGACUGUGUAGAGUGAUUGCCGGCAAACGCCAGCGCAAUCAUUCUAUGAAAAGUUCAAUGCACGUGUACAUACCUGUCCAAGGAAACCGCAACAAGACUGUAGACAGAGGCCGCCACAGAAACGCCCUGUAUAUAAGUGACUGCUUUGCACAUGAACCACCCCAGGAUCCAUGCUGAAACACAAGAUUACGAUUUAUCGUUGGACGGCACAUGCUGAAGAUGAUCAGUAGGAUUGAAGAAGUAAGUCUACGUAAGAAAUUUUGUAUGGAUACAGUGAAUUUUAUAUAAAGCUUGCCAAGAGCCACAGUAUUCUUUAACUUUAUAAUGCACCUCUGAUGAAAAUGAAAUUUUCGUUUGCGAAUAAAGAUUAACAGAG